rnacentral:rRNA from 1 species
AGAGGGUGCGAGCGUUAAUCGGAAUUACUGGGCGUAAAGCGCACGUAGGUGGUUAUUUAAGUUGGAUGUGAAAUCCCUGGGCUUAACCUGGGGCUGCCAUUCGAAACUGGAUGACUAGAGUACGGUAGAGGAAAGCGGAAUUUCCGGUGUAGCGGUGAAAUGCGUAGAUAUCGGAAGGAACACCAGUGGCGAAGGCGACUUUCUGGACUGAUACUGACACUGAGGAGCGAAAGCGUGGGUAGCGAACAGGAUUAGAUACCCUGGUAGUCCACGCCGUAAACGAUGAGAACUAGCCCGUUGGAAAGUGUAACUUUUUAGUGGCGCAGCUAACGCGAUAAGUUCUCCGCCUGGGGAGUACGGCCGCAAGGCUA